rnacentral:rRNA from 1 species
GGUUAAGCGACUAAGCGUACACGGUGGAUGCCCUGGCAGUCAGAGGCGAUGAAGGACGUGCUAAUCUGCGAUAAGCGUCGGUAAGGUGAUAUGAACCGUUAUAACCGGCGAUUUCCGAAUGGGGAAACCCAGUGUGAUUCGUCACACUAUCAUUAACUGAAUCCAUAGGUUAAUGAGGCGAACCGGGGGAACUGAAACAUCUAAGUACCCCGAGGAAAAGAAAUCAACCGAGAUUCCCCCAGUAGCGGCGAGCGAACGGGGAGCAGCCCAGAGCCUGAAUCAGUGUGUGUGUUAGUGGAAGCGUCUGGAAAGGCGCGCGAUACAGGGUGACAGCCCCGUACACAAAAAUGCACAUACUGUGAGCUCGAUGAGUAGGGCGGGACACGUGGUAUCCUGUCUGAAUAUGGGGGGACCAUCCUCCAAGGCUAAAUACUCCUGACUGACCGAUAGUGAACCAGUACCGUGAGGGAAAGGCGAAAAGAACCCCGGCGAGGGGAGUGAAAAAGAACCUGAAACCGUGUACGUACAAGCAGUGGGAGCACAGAGCAAUCUGUGUGACUGCGUACCUUUUGUAUAAUGGGUCAGCGACUUAUAUUCUGUAGCAAGGUUAACCGAAUAGGGGAGCCGAAGGGAAACCGAGUCUUAACUGGGCGUUAAGUUGCAGGGUAUAGACCCGAAACCCGGUGAUCUAGCCAUGGGCAGGUUGAAGGUUGGGUAACACUAACUGGAGGACCGAACCGACUAAUGUUGAAAAAUUAGCGGAUGACUUGUGGCUGGGGGUGAAAGGCCAAUCAAACCGGGAGAUAGCUGGUUCUCCCCGAAAGCUAUUUAGGUAGCGCCUCGUGAAUUCAUCUCCGGGGGUAGAGCACUGUUUCGGCAAGGGGGUCAUCCCGACUUACCAACCCGAUGCAAACUGCGAAUACCGGAGAAUGUUAUCACGGGAGACACACGGCGGGUGCUAACGUCCGUCGUGAAGAGGGAAACAACCCAGACCGCCAGCUAAGGUCCCAAAGUCAUGGUUAAGUGGGAAACGAUGUGGGAAGGCCCAGACAGCCAGGAUGUUGGCUUAGAAGCAGCCAUCAUUUAAAGAAAGCGUAAUAGCUCACUGGUCGAGUCGGCCUGCGCGGAAGAUGUAACGGGGCUAAACCAUGCACCGAAGCUGCGGCAGCGACGCUUAUGCGUUGUUGGGUAGGGGAGCGUUCUGUAAGCCUGCGAAGGUGUGCUGUGAGGCAUGCUGGAGGUAUCAGAAGUGCGAAUGCUGACAUAAGUAACGAUAAAGCGGGUGAAAAGCCCGCUCGCCGGAAGACCAAGGGUUCCUGUCCAACGUUAAUCGGGGCAGGGUGAGUCGACCCCUAAGGCGAGGCCGAAAGGCGUAGUCGAUGGGAAACAGGUUAAUAUUCCUGUACUUGGUGUUACUGCGAAGGGGGGACGGAGAAGGCUAUGUUGGCCGGGCGACGGUUGUCCCGGUUUAAGCGUGUAGGCUGGUUUUCCAGGCAAAUCCGGAAAAUCAAGGCUGAGGCGUGAUGACGAGGCACUACGGUGCUGAAGCAACAAAUGCCCUGCUUCCAGGAAAAGCCUCUAAGCAUCAGGUAACAUCAAAUCGUACCCCAAACCGACACAGGUGGUCAGGUAGAGAAUACCAAGGCGCUUGAGAGAACUCGGGUGAAGGAACUAGGCAAAAUGGUGCCGUAACUUCGGGAGAAGGCACGCUGAUAUGUAGGUGAAGUCCCUCGCGGAUGGAGCUGAAAUCAGUCGAAGAUACCAGCUGGCUGCAACUGUUUAUUAAAAACACAGCACUGUGCAAACACGAAAGUGGACGUAUACGGUGUGACGCCUGCCCGGUGCCGGAAGGUUAAUUGAUGGGGUUAGCGCAAGCGAAGCUCUUGAUCGAAGCCCCGGUAAACGGCGGCCGUAACUAUAACGGUCCUAAGGUAGCGAAAUUCCUUGUCGGGUAAGUUCCGACCUGCACGAAUGGCGUAAUGAUGGCCAGGCUGUCUCCACCCGAGACUCAGUGAAAUUGAACUCGCUGUGAAGAUGCAGUGUACCCGCGGCAAGACGGAAAGACCCCGUGAACCUUUACUAUAGCUUGACACUGAACAUUGAGCCUUGAUGUGUAGGAUAGGUGGGAGGCUUUGAAGUGUGGACGCCAGUCUGCAUGGAGCCGACCUUGAAAUACCACCCUUUAAUGUUUGAU